GUGAGGAAUAUUGGACAAUGGGUGCAAGCCUGAUCCAGCCAUGCCGCGUGCAGGAAGACGCAUCUAUGGUGUGUAAACUGCUUUUGUACGGGAAGAAACACUCCCUCGUGAGGGAGCUUGACGGUACCGUAAGAAUAAGGAUCGGCUAACUCCGUGCCAGCAGCCGCGGUAAUACGGAGGAUCCAAGCGUUAUCCGGAAUCAUUGGGUUUAAAGGGUCCGUAGGCGGUUUAAUAAGUCAGUGGUGAAAGCCCAUCGCUCAACGAUGGAACGGCCAUUGAUACUGUUAGACUUGAAUUACAAGGAAGUAACUAGAAUAUGUAGUGUAGCGGUGAAAUGCUUAGAUAUUACAUGGAAUACCAAUUGCGAAGGCAGGUUACUACUUGUGGAUUGACGCUGAUGGACGAAAGCGUGGGGAGCGAACAGGAUUAGAUACCCGUGUAGUCC
rnacentral:rRNA from 1 species